rnacentral:rRNA from 1 species
UAUUUGUGUCCCACACGGGUAAUACUCCCAAGUGCGGGUUAGUAUUACUUGUUGCAUGUGUAUGUUUACUGUAAAAGGUGGCAUAUGCAUGUGACUUUAAGUGUGACGGAUGUUUUACCGGUGAGGGAAACGAUCUUCUAAUAGUGUUUCAUACAUGUUAUGGACUCUAUUGUUGACACGCCCCUUAUGUAUAACCCACUUUGGUGCUCUUCACCGAGUGCCACUGUGGGCCGGUACAGUUACUUUGAACAAAUUAGAGUGCUCAAGGCAGGCUAAAUUUAAUGAAAGUUAAAACGCCUGAAUAUAUUUUGCAUGGAAUAAUGGAAUAGGACCUCUGUUCUAUUUUCAAUUGGUUUUAUAGAGAUCCAAGAGGUAAUGAUUAAUAGAAGCAGUUGGGGGCAUUAGUAUUACGAGGCGAGAGGUGAAAUUCGUAGACCCUCGUAAGACUGA